CACCAAUAGCUGCAGUCGACGAUUCUACGGGAGGCAGCAGUGGGGAAUAUUGGGCAAUGGAGGAAACUCUGACCCAGCGACGCCGCGUGCGGGAUGAAGGCCUUCGGGUUGUAAACCGCUUUCAGUAGGGAAGAAGCGAAAGUGACGGUACCUACAAAAGAAGCACCGGCUAACUAUGUGCCAGCAGCCGCGGUAAUACAUAGGGUGCAAGCGUUGUCCGGAAUUAUUGGGCGUAAAGAGCUCGUAGGUCGUUUGUUACGUCGGAUGUGAAAACCUGAGGCUCAACCUCAGGCCUGCAUUCGAUACGGGCAAACUAGAGUUUGGUAGGGGAGACUGGAAUUCCUGGUGUAGCGGUGGAAUGCGCAGAUAUCAGGAGGAACACCAAUGGCGAAGGCAGGUCUCUGGGCCAAUACUGACACUGAGGAGCGAAAGUCUGGGGAGCGAACAGGAUUAGAUACCCUGGUAGUCCAGACCGUAAACGGUGGGCACUAGUUGUGGGAACCUUCCACGGUUUCUGCGACGCAGCUAACGCAUUAAGUGCCCCGCCUGGGGAGUACGAUCGCAAGAUUAAAACUCAAAUGAAUUGACGG
rnacentral:rRNA from 1 species